UACGGGGGGGGCAAGCGUUGUUCGGAAUUACUGGGCGUAAAGGGCUCGUAGGUGGCCAACUAAGUCAGACGUGAAAUCCCUCAGCUUAACUGGGGAACUGCGUCUGAUACUGGAUGGCUUGAGUUUGGGAGAGGGAUGCGGAAUUCCUGGUGUAGCGGUGAAAUGCGCAGAUAUCAGGAGGAACACCAAUGGCGAAGGCAGCUCGCUGGGACGUGACUGACGCUGAGACGCGAAAGCGUGGGGAGCAAACAGG
rnacentral:rRNA from 1 species